rnacentral:lncRNA from 1 species
CGCUGGAGGAGCUGCGCGGCCGGCGGAGAACUUUUUUCCUUUUCCCUUCGCUCUCCCUCUUCGGCUCGCGCCUAGGCCCUGGCCACUCUCCCGCGGCCUCAAGCAGCCAGCACAGGCUCCAAGUGACCGCGGGGCCACAGUGCGCGAGAGGAAAGGGGUUCGGAACGUGCGGGGUGGAGAGCUGGGACGCACAUGACGGCCCCUUUCUCCGCCCUGACUUAAUGCCCCAGCGCUCGCAGCCGCUGCUCUCUUUUUAAGAGAAUGGGGCAGGUGCAGGUUUGGUUGCUGCUGUUUUAGCCGCUCCAAGGAAAUUGUUUGGUGUAAGAUUGAUUUCCUAAGCGAAUGCGUGCGCGUUUCCAGCAACACAGGGCAACAUUUCUCGCCCCCAAAACCGGUGAAAUUAAACAGAUUUCCUUUUGAAAAGGCCCUUGGGGACGCUAGGGAGUCAGAUGUGACAACUAAUUUUAAAAUAACUGUUUAACGGGUGGUUAGGGAGCUCGCUUUCUCUCCACUACCAAGUUCACCUCUUCUUCCACCCCCUCUAAAGCAAGUGACUUGACGAUAGGUGACCCGUCCCCUAUUCCUCCCCUUAAUGCCAGUCUGGAAGCGCACUGUCUUGGAGAAGGGAUGUGUCUCCUCGCCCUCGAGAACCAGCGCGGAGAUCUUCUUUUGUGCCUCCGCUUGGCUGUGAACUUUCCCGCGCGAGGCCGGUUUCCUGUCUGUGUGUGGAAUGGAAGGACCGCGCCGGGGCUUUCCGCCUGCACACAGUCAUUUGGAGAAAAUCAAGUGAGCACACCUCUCCCCACAGAGGAUUCUGUGUGUUACGUAACACACUUACACUGGGAUUCCUCAAGUUACCAUUUUGCCCCAAAUCAGCCAGGACUUGGUUUUCUGGUGGGGGUGUCAGGAUGAUGCAAAUGGAGGUGAAAGCUUCAUUCCCUGGGGGCUUUUAUUCCCCUCCUUGAAGCCCCAGUUCAAGGCCCAGGAACAAAGGGGAAAGGUAACUGAUCUCUCUUUUGGUCUUCCUCUCCCCUCACUUCCACCCCCUCACCUGCAGACCCUUCUCUUUGAUAAAUAGAGGAAAGCCAGUGGGAUCAGGUACAUAUGUAAAUACUACUGACCUCGGCCUCCCCUUCUCACUGAAAAGCGGAAAGCCCGUUUCAGGUGCAGGCUGCUCCCUGCCUUUGAGUGUCCACCACUUCUACUCCCCCAGACUGCGUGAGACUCAGGGCUACUCACUUAGCAUCCCUCUCUUGUUAAAAAACAUUCAGGACAACUAUUAAAUAGUUCUUGGAAGAGUUUAAGACCUUCUUUCAGGAGUGAAAUGUUUUAAAAGCCUUGCUUGGCAGAAAUCUUUAAGGCGUACAAAGUAGAAUCAGUAGGCUUGCCUGAGCGAUUUUGAAAUUUGAAAGAUUUCUCCCCAUGAAAUGUUAAUUUAAAAUAGUUUGUAGAUGUUAUUUUGUUCUACGAUGGCUUUUUCACUAUUGUCACCUAAAGAUUCUCAAGACCAAGCUACUAAGACAUUUCUUUUGAUUUGGUUAGUUUCUGGGUGAUACUAUACUUUCUGAUUAGACCUAUUUAAUUUAUUUUUUUUUAACUCUGCAGGACAGUUUUCAACCUUGAAAAUGUAAGUGAAACACAGACUCGCCCUUCCUCUGAGACCCUGGUUAGGGGCAGAAAGGAACAAAUCUAGCUAGCCUCACUCACACCUCGAAGUUUCCCUGUCUGUACCUGGGUACAGUGAGCAUGGUGGGUUUUGACGCCUUUUAUUUUAUUGCUGGCUCAAGGAAUAUUCUUUGAAAUGAAUAUCUAUUUUAUUUCAGUGUGCAGUGUUCCAGACAACUAAAUGGGCUUGCCUUAUGCCAAGAGGCAGUCCUGGAGGACAGAGCUAAUAUGUGAUCUCCCAGGAAGCUCAUCAGAACACCUCUUGUCCCUUUUCUUUAAAAAAAAAUAAAAAGUUUUUGGUUCCCUCUCAGUGUCUGUUUCAUUAUUUUGUAGCUACAAUAAUGAAACAUGGGCAGCAGUGAUCAUUCUUUUUGUCCUUUGUAACCAUGCCUAGUGUUGGGAACUCACGAAGCCCCAGACAUACCUUGGAUGUAUUUUGUGCUUUUCACAUUUAUUCACUGCUCACUGGGCCACACAGAUCAUUCACACUUGAUUCUGCCUACCUCUGGACAACUCUCCCUCAAACAACACCCCUCUAUGAACUUAUAGGGAAAGGGGAUUCACUUAGAGAAAACUUCCUGAAUUUAAAAAUACCAGACUCAGUUUCGCCAGGUAACUGAUCCUGGUCAUACCAGUGACUAGGAUGUCAUCACCUAACACUCUCAGGAAGGAGGCAGGCCAGUGGGCACA